GAUGAACGCUGGCGGCGUGCCUAAUACAUGCAAGUCGAGCGAACGGACGAGAAGCUUGCUUUUCUGAUGUUAGCGGCGGACGGGUGAGUAACACGUGGAUAACCUACCUAUAAGACUGGGAUAACUUCGGGAAACCGGAGCUAAUACCGGAUAAUAUUUUGAACCGCAUGGUUCAAAAGUGAAAGACGGUCUUGCUGUCACUUAUAGAUGGAUCCGCGCUGCAUUAGCUAGUUGGUAAGGUAGCGGCUUACCAAGGCAACGAUGCAUAGCCGACCUGAGAGGGUGGUCGGUCACACGGGAACUGAGACACGGUCCAUACUCCUACGGAGAGCAGCGGUAGGGAAUCUUCCGCAAUGGGCGAAAGCCUGACGGAGCAACGCCGCGUGAGUGAUGAAGGUCUUCGGAUCGUAAAACUCUGUUAUUAGGGAAGAACAUAUGUGUAAGUAACUGUGCACAUCUUGACGGUACCUAAUCAGAAAGCCACGGCUAACUACGUG
rnacentral:rRNA from 1 species